UCUAAUGGCUAAAAGAAAAAUUUGAAAAGUAGAAAAGCAUAAAACAACGUAUUUAUUAUAUGCCCUCCUUUCAGAUUCUUUCUUCUUUAAAACAAAAGGAGCCACAGUCUUAGGAUGUCUUCUUUAAAUAAAACUUGCACAUUUCAGUUUGUAACUAUUUCCAUUAACAAUGUUGAACCCUGUCUCUCUCUAGACACAUGCACUUCUUGAAUGGUUUCCUUGCCCUCUUUCUGUUUCUCAUAGGUCUCCCCACUCAUGCACUACAAAAAAUUAAUUUCCAAAAGCAUCUUAGGAUAUUCUGAGAAAGAGUAAAGAUGGAAACGAAAGUCUUCAGAGUGCGCCAGAAUUCUCAGUGGAAAAGUCACGAUUGGGUCUGACCAAAGGGCUGAAAUGCAACCAACAUACCCCUCACCACCUUGUGCCUUGCUUGAGGGCCACACACACACACACCCGGCAAGAGGAAAGAACUCUGCAAAUGUAAUUUCAUUCUUAUUUCAGAGAGUCAAGAUGAAGAUGAAGAAGUCAAGUCAUCUGAGAAGGGGAUAACACUAAGAUGAUUAUCAGGCCUUUAUAAAGGAGGCACUCCGUGGCUCACCUCCAUGUCCUGCAGUGUCUAGAAGAGCUGCUGAUACAUGGAAGACAUAAAUGUGGAGUGAUAAGUGAAUGAAUGAAUGGAUGAAAUGAAAAUUACAGGUCAAAUUCUCAAAAAAUCCCAAAAAGUGAGUUUUCUUGGCUCUAGUGAAUAAAUAAAUGCUAAGCUAAUGGUGAAGGAAUGAUAUUAAUACUGCAGUCCCAUGCUUAAAAUAUCUAGAAGAGGCCCAUCUUCUUGGCUCCAUAGCAGGACCCCAC
rnacentral:lncRNA from 1 species